rnacentral:rRNA from 1 species
UACGUAGGUGGCGAGCGUUGUCCGGAUUUACUGGGCGUAAAGAGCGCGCAGGCGGUCGUUCAAGUCGGAUGUGAAAGCCCCCGGCUCAACUGGGGAGGGUCAUUCGAUACUGAUCGACUCGAAGGCAGGAGAGGGAAGCGGAAUUCCCGGUGUAGUGGUGAAAUACGCAGAUAUCAGGAGGAACACCGGUGGCGAAGGCGGAUCUCUGGGCCAUUACUGACGCUGAGGAGCGAAAGCGUGGGGAGCGAACAGG